AAAAUGCUAGUUACAAAUCGAAUUGGACAACUAUCGAUAAAGGUGCCUUUUCAUGCAGCGAAUUUUUCGCCGCGAAGUGGCGAAUAAUUCGCCACGAAUAGUUUGUGAGCGUCACAUCUGUAUGGUUGCGUGUCAACAAUAGAAAAUCUUGAAAUCUUUGUAAUGGACGACGAGUCGGUUAUAAACUGGACUUGGUAUAACCACCAACUGCAGUGGUUAUUGCAUAUGUACAAUAUGUACAAUAAGCAAAUUAUUAUUAUAUUGUGCAGAAAAGGAAAGCUGCUACAGUUGCAGCUACACUUUUACAUUUGAGAAAAAGUGGAAAAAAAAGAUAUUGUAAAAAGAAAUAUUGGAUAGCACCCAUUUUUCAAGAAAGGAAAGUGUAUGAAUUCUUUCAUGCUGUACUACCUAAACUCGUUUUAGAAGAUUUGAGAUUUAAUAAUUACAUACGCAUGUCUGCAACUCAAUUUGAAAAGUUAACAUUCUUAGUUGGAGCAGACAUAUUCGCUCCUUGCGAAUAUUCGCUACAAGCUGAAACUUUUCAGCGAACAGCGAUUACUCGCUAGCGAACAGCGAAUGAUCACGUGACCAUCAUUCGCGGCGAUUAUUUCUCUGCAUGAAACGGCACCUUAAGCUUCUCGCGUUCACCGCAUGAGGUCCCCAAGAUCAUUUUGAAAUGCGCGCGGCAUUUGCACGGCGGCCAUUACGCGUUGCGAUCAUUACGUUUUAACAAGUAUUUCGCGUCCAAAACGGUGCUCUUUAAUUGCAUUAUAAGUAAAGAAAUUUGUGAUAUAUAGUGGAAAGUGGUGCAGCGAAGCAGCCGCGGAGAGAAUAAGAUGCAAUCGGAGCACGCGGAAAUGACGCGAAGACUUCCUUCGGCGAUGGUGGAGGACGUUGGCGGCUUCCUACGGUUUCCUCAGGGCUUCUCGACAGCCCGACGACGACGGCGGGGGUGCGGCUGCUUGCGUUCGCCACGGACGGUCGGCCUUCACUGACGUCGGGCGUCGCGACGCUUCCGCCGUUGUUCCGGAGAUCCCACCACAGGGAUUGCGUGCUACAGCGCCCACGAACACCUAGACUGCCGGUCUCCAUACACCACAAGUCAACGGGACGAAGGGGUGUGUUUUACACGAGGGUGUCCCGGCACACAUCCCUCGUACGGGUGCGGCGAGCGAUAACGGCGCGAACAUUUGCGGCGCCAAACUUUCCCGAACUGGAAGACUCGAGAUACGUUUUGUACCUGGUUUUGUAUAAAUAUAAACGCGAUUUAUGGCUCUUUUAUUUAGUUGUUUGAUGAUUUUAUUCUUGAACAGAGCUGUGAUAAUAUUACUAAAAACGUGAAAACGUGAAAAAGGAUACAUUUUCGCGACGCCAAGCUGUCCCGAUUUGGAAGACUCGAAAUACAUUAUCUAGUUGUUUAUAUAAAUAUAAACGUGAUUUAUAGCUCCUUUAUUUAUUUUGUUUGAUGACAUUAUUCCGAGAAGAGCUGAUAUGAAGUGAUGAUAUUAUUAAAAAUAUGGGAAAGGAUAUAACGUCUUGUACUAAAGAAAUAUGUUUUAAAUUAUUUAAAUUAAAAUUAUAUUCAUGCGUUUUCUCGUAAUCUAUCCUUUGUAAAAUGAGAGAAUUCAAUUUCAGCGAGGAACGGAUAUCAAAAUUGUCUUCGCAUAUCUCCUGACAAACGACGAGCAAAGGAAGAGUUCCUCCGAUUUUCGGAUUCCGCUUGACACGCUCGCUCGCCAGCCGAUCAAACUUUCUUUUCGUGUAAUUGCCCGAAGGAACGGUGGAUACCGUUUCGACUACGUAAUUAUUUCCUGCACGCAGGGAAAAUAUAUUUCUUUCGUACCCGUCGAUGGAGGCAAUCCGCGAGUGGUACCUCGGUCGCUCGUAUUAUGCUUUUCCAAUCUCGGAGGGUUGUUCCCGCGCCUUUCCACGUGGAAUCCGACGCGGGCUUAUCGCUGCGGUCACGUCAGUGUGAUUUCGGAAUUUGGCCCACAAGCGUAUGUGGGUUACCAAAUCCCACCGGAUUUGGAAACGAUGAACCCCCUCGAUCUGGCACACGCAAAACCGAGUUCUUAAAUCAUCACAUCGUAUUAAUUUUAUCACUAUUUUAUCUUAUCGAUACAUAUUGUAAGCAUAUAAAUUUUCAAUUUUUAUAAUCAAGGUAUUUCUCAAGAAACAAAGUUGUAAUUAAAAUUUAUUUUAAGUAAAUCUAGAUUUUCUAGAUUUGUAUUUUAUUUUUCUUUUUACAUUGCAAGUUACAUACUUUGUAAGUUCUCAAUCUACAUCCUAUAUGUGGAAAGAUGUAUUUAUCGUAAGCGCGAUUUAUAUCUACUUAAUGUGAGGCAAAGAAGGCGAGCGAUUAUUGUAGAAAAUUGGAGAUGAAUUGUUAACCAUUGAUAUUUUAUAUUUGAUAUUACUUUUAUCUAGAGUAACAUAGAAUUUGUGUUUCCUGUCAUGAGGCAUUUCCGUUUCUGUCCGUAUCAUCGUGACACGCGAAGGGUGAAUGUCCUAAAUUACGACCGCAGUGAAUCCACGGAUUUAUUGCGCGGGCGACAGCGUCGAUUGAGAAUUCGUGCAAUGCGCUAUCUCUAUAACAGAAGGUUAAUGUGACGACGUGAAUUACAAGUAUAUUUAAGUAGCCCGAUUUCAGAGAAGUAUACCGACAAAAUGAUAUAUUAGAGUAACAGCGACGCUUUAUCGAUAAAAUAUCGAUGGGACAAAAGACUCAAGCAAAAUAUUCAACUGCUUAUAGACGACUAGUGAUUGGAAAUUCAAUAAAAGACAUUCAGGUACACUCACAUUUCAUAUCGCUCACUUUUUUGACAAAACAACAAUUUCGGCAACAACUUCAUCUCAGAUACUUAGAACAAAUAAUCGAUUAUUCUAAUAUAAAAAUAUAUUCGGAAUCCCCAAACGAAGGGAUUAAGUACUGGAGUACGAUGAAAUACGAAGAGC